rnacentral:lncRNA from 1 species
AUGAGGCCUGUCACCGUAGGGGCACACCCAGAGCAAGCGCAGAGGUCUCGGGGUCCUAAGCCCCUUCUGUGUGCACGUCGUGCCACUGGCUGUGCGUCCCUGUCGUGGCCCUUGGGGACAAAGAAAUCUACAGUCCGAGUCACUGCUCUAGCUGUGGUAACUGGCUUCUCGUUCAGACUCUCCUUCCUGUAUCGGGUCACGUUUUCUGGCAUGGAUUACAGAAGAGACCGUGUGGCGGAGGAACUGAGUUUGUGGUGGUGGAACAUCCAGGAAGUCUCUUCCGGAAGGACUGUUUGGAAAAUUGGCAAGGGGAAAUUCACACUUCGGGAUUGCGAGAGCGGCCAGGACAACAACAUCUAAACGAGAGUAUCAAAGAAAAGAAUGCAGAAAAUGGAAAAAGAAGGCAGAAUAAAGAAGCUUCAGACACAGAGAGGGCAAUGCCAGUAAUAAAUACGAAAUUGCAGGACUUGUCAAAGAGAAGCGAUGCGCGUUACAGCUUCUGUGACUGUUUUCUCCGUCCAAGCACCUGCUGUCAACCUAAAACAGCAUCAUCCCAAUAAAACAUUCAGCAAGGUCUGAAGAUGUUUUUCCUUUGUCAUGGUUUGGGGAGUGAGGGUGGUGCUUGGAAGGAAAUGCCACUGGCAUUGAAUGGGGGAAGCCAGGGACACUGCCCAUGUUGUCCUGUGGGCCACUGUCAUGGGAUUGAAUGGGGGAACCCAGGGACACUGCCUGUACUGUCCUGUGGGCCAUCGUCAUGGGAUUGAAUGGGAGGAGGCCAGGGACACUGCCUGUACUGUCCUGUGGGCCACUGUCAUGGGAUUGAAUGGGGGAACCCAGGGACACUGCCUGUACUGUCCUGUGGGCCAUCGUCAUGGGAUUGAAUGGGGUAAGCCAGGGACACUGCCUGUACUGUCCUGUGGGCCAUCAUGGGAUUGAAUGAAGGAACCCAGGGACACUGCCUGUACUGUCCUGUGGGCCAUCGUCAUGGGAUUGAAUGGGGUAAGCCAGGGACACUGCCUGUACUGUCCUGCGGGCCAUCGUCAUGGGAUUGAAUGAGGGAACCCAGGGACCUGCCUGUACUGUCCUGCGGGCCAUCGUCAUGGGAUUGAAUGGGAGGAGGCCAGGGACACUGCCUGUACUGUCCUGUGGGCCAUCGUCAUGGGAUUGAAUGGGG